GUCUGAUCCAAUUAAACUGAACCAUGAAGAGAGAUUUAUUGAGACUUUUGUGAAACAGCAUUGCUCAAUCAUCUGAAAAAUCUACCAGAAGUCAUGAAUUUGAAGCCUGGAGCUGUUACCACAUAUUUUCCUGAGUGUGAGAAUCCAGACUUAGGUGAAAAAGAAAUCUGUCGUACUUGAAGAGAGAGAGAAACUGGGUCUUUGCCAAGCGUAGCCACUAAAUCAAAGCAAACCCAAAGCUUGCUCUACCUACGGACUUUGUAGUUUGAAGUGACAUUUAUUUGCAGAAUAUGAGAUGGAGCAAGAAGAAAUUUAGGCCUGAAAAGAAUGACCAACUGUGGACUGAACAAUUGCUGAGAGUCAAGUGGCUUGGGAAGCGGACUCUGCAAUGGAGAUUUGCCUGCACCAUAGUGGAAAGAGGAUUGGCAGAGGGAUAGGAAGCUGCAACACAGUCACAAGAAAGGCCUCAGCCAUUCCACAGGGGUGCUGGAGCUGGAUGCUUGCCCAUUUAGGGUGUCCCAAUUGGGGUGAGGGGCCUAGGCCUUUAUCCCCUCCCCCCCCCACUGCCCUGUCACUGGAAGCAGACUGCCUCCGGGAAAGUGGUGUGACCCUGGCUAUGGCAACUUUUUUCACAGAAGAUUAACAACCUGGAGGGGAAACACAGAACUAAGUUCCUAGCUGUCAACACUCCAGAUUGCUGGAGCCAUGGAUCUCAGUCCUGGAGAGGAGUGGGAAGGAUCUGAGGGGCAUGGCCCAGGAUCAUUGCACAAGGACACAAACACUCUUUAAAUCCAGAUGGAUGUGUAGAUACAAGGGCAGAACCUGCAGCAAGAGUUCGGUGUACACAGAUCUACCAGAAACAGGUCCUGUCUAUCACAUAUUUGUCAGCUUCAGCGAAUUUGAGAUCUAGACUUCUGUUAAUGAUUCUGGAAGUGAGUAUGCUGGUAAUAUUUACGUUCUCUGUUGUUGUGACUUUGCUGUUUUUUCUAUCCCUUCACAAGGUGGGAAAACACUUUGAGAAGCCAUAGCUAACCACAUACGUUUUAUCCUGGAAGUUUAAAUCAUUUUGUUUAUGUGUGGCGAAAAAAAAUAUGCAGUUUGUCUGGGAGAGAGGUUAAACUGUUUGCUUACGAUAGUGUAAUUUUUAAAGAUAUAGCAGCAACAUGAAUAAUUUCUUAUAAUUACUUUCACCAUGUCACAACUAAUUUGGCUCAAUGAUGAUGUACUAGUUUGCUAGGGCUGCCAUCACACAGUGCCAUAGAUUGGGUGGCUUAAACAACAGAAGCUUAUUUUCCCCAGGUUCUGGAGGUUAGAAGUCGAAGAUCAAGGUAUCAGCAAGGUUGAGUUUUCCUGAGGCCUCUUUUCUUGGCUUGUAGAUGGCCUUCCUCUUCUUCUGUCUACACGCGGUCUUUCCUCUGUGAAUAGCUGUGUUCUAAUCUACUCUUCUCAUAAAGAUAUCAGUUGUAUUGGACUAGAUGCCAUGCCAAUGACCUCAGUUAAACUUAAUUACCUCUUUAAAACCUUUCCAAAUAUGGUUGCAUUCUGAGGGACUGAGGAUUAAGGCUUCAGCAUAUAAAUUUGAAGAGGACACAAUUCAGCCCGUAAGAGAUGUUAAGAGCAAUCCAGAACGAUUUUUCAAGAAUUGAUUAAUAUGAUACUAUUGCAUUUUAUUGAAAAGAUAAUUAUCUUUUUUAAAUUGCUACUAAUUUAUUUUAAAUGUAAAUUCAUACAUCAGACUGAAAUUGUUGUUAGUUCACAUAAUAUUUAAGCUACGCAUUCAAACAUUAUGCUUCAAGUUCCUAUCAAGAGCAUGAGCAUUCAUUAUCAAGUCAAAAUAAAAAUGAAUUGGUACCAGAAAAAAAAAAUCUUUCAGUGGAUUUUAUAAAAGUUGCUUUAAAAUUUAGCAGUGAGGACAAUUAAAAGAACUAGCAUCUACAUUCAGAUUCCAAUUCCAUUGUCUGUUUGAAACGUGGACAGAUAAAAUGCCUUCAAGAAAAUGUUUGUAAUUAUUGUACUAAUGUGCUUCAUAUUCUGCAUGUUCAGGGAAUGCAACAAAAUCUUAAGUAAUAGUGUUUCAAAACCAAAGCUAUUGUUCCAUCAUUAUCAGCAUUCUAAUGGUCCCUUGCCAACAAUAUACUGGGACAUUUUAAAAAGCUUUGCAAACAGUAGUAAGAAAUGAAUGCUUCUUAUCAUUGUUCAAAGAAAACCCACAGAAAAGAAUUUAAAUAUCUUAAGUAAAAUAUGUUAAUAAUCCUGACUUCUAUAAUAACUCUCUUUAUUGCAAGAGUUUAUUAAAAACAAAUGCAUAUGGUCAUUUAGAAGGAACAAGAAAAGUUAUCUUUGGAAUUUGAAAAUAAAAUAUACCCUUUAAAGUCAUAUAACAAUAUUUUGUCCUGUGCUUUUUUAUUCUAAAUUCUUUAGUAUUUAUAAAAUAAAUUUUAUAUGUCAUAUUUCAUGUUUAUUAG
ensembl:lncRNA